ensembl:lncRNA
GAAAGCUGCUUCAAGCAGGGUCAUCUCUAUCACUUUUUUGCUGCCACGGUCAAGUACAUUGCUAGUUUUAGCUAUGCUGAAAUUCUAUAAGCAACAUUCCAAAGAACUCUCUAGAAUAGAAGUCUCUCUGCAUUCCCAAAACAGUGGAAGAAUUAAUCUACUCAGCUGCUCAAGUGAUUUAUCGGGGUUGGGGGUGCUAGGCUUAAGCUGAAGCAACCUGAAGGUGCAGUGGCCGCGUGUCUUUCUUUCACAGCAUCCAAAUAGGAGCACGGCCUGGAGCUGGGAUGCAGUGUUGAAUUAGGCUGUGUAGACCAUGGCACAGGGACUGUCUCAGGAUACAAGUGCUAAUGCAAUUCUCUAUUUUCAAAAACCUGGAGUCAGCUGAGAAUUCUUCACAAGACCAUCCAGCAGAGAUGACAGCAAUAUGGAUUACUGUAAUAAGGGAUGUAUCAGAAGAGUCUGCAGUCUGGAGAUGGCUUGGGGGAAGAAGGGUAGUUGCUUUGGGGUGUCUAUAUGCAGCUCCUUCGAGUCUUAACUGCCCAGUCGCAACUCUGAACACCCAUCAAUAAAGGAUGAAAACCUGAUAAUGAUAGUUUCGAUUGGUAAUUUUUUUGCUCCCCUUCUCUGCUUCUUUUUCUGUUCCCUGCCCAGCCUCUGGUAAUUUAAAAUGGUGAAGCUUACUUGGAAUUGGUGGCAAAUGCAGUCUUAGGACAGACGAGCAUAUGGAGAUAAAUAAAACAACUUUAGCACCUCUUCGCAGUCUCUGCACUUCACUGUCUUUGCCUUGGAAACCUGAGAUAUUGUUAAAGUCUUGGUGUUAAAAUCUGGCCAUGUACAUCAGCCAUCCAUUGGUGAAUCUCUGAAUAAGCCUAAGGCUCCUACUAGCCAGGGGUUAAUAAUUCAAAAUUAAGCUUGGUAUGUUCCAGGAAUAUGCCUUAACCCUCACAUUGUAAAAGAAGAAGAGAUGAACAGUAGAUUUUGACAGAAACUCUACAGUUCCUUUUACUGUAACCAUACCCACCUACGUUCCUAUUUCCACCUAAGGAUGGUGUCUGCCCUGGUGGGUACCAGUCCACUUCUGCAGCUACAAAUGUACCAACCCUUCAACUGCAAUUUGGUGUCAGAGACAUCUAAUACAAGGCUGCUGUGGAAGAGAGAUGCUGAAACCACCCAUUGGAUUGUUUGUAUAUGCAUAACAGCCAUUGGAACUUUGUCAGUGAAGCAGAAAAUUCUUUUUUUCAUAAAAGAUGCCAGUAUUGCUUGUACGGAUAUGUGACAAGGGAUUUCCUCCUUUUAAAGAUACCUGGUUGCUGGGAAAUACACAGAAACAAUCUUUUAAAGAAAAACCACUGAUGAGCUAGGUUUCGAAAAGAAAAGUUAGCUGAACACUCAAACGCCUUGGGAAUCUUCCCUAGUUUUUAUAGGACAGUUUAAAGACUGAAUCCCUAAUAAAUGCUGUAUGCAAUUCAUAUGGGAGUUAUUUAAGUAUGGCAGUACUGAGACCUCCCAGAGUCCAUGCAGUUCAGCAUUUUGUGCCCAAAAGAGGACGUCCAGGGAAUGUAUGGUAGGAUAAAGGAUCAUUGUUUAAAAGCCUCCCAGGCUUUACAGUAUAAAAGAGUUGUGGAAAACUGUUUUUCCUUCCCAACUGCUCUUAAUCUAACUUGUCAUGCUUGCUACUGCUUGCCAAGAUUGGAAGUAUCAAUAUCCAGACUCAUCUGUAAGGGAAGAAUGGAGGAACUUUACUAAGAUAAAGAACUCCUACAAGACAAUGGAAGUUUCCAAUGACACAUCCCAGCAGCUAGAUUUUUUUUCAAAGCAAAUAUUCUGAAUGGAGAUUACUAGCAAAUGUCCAGAAUGUCUGUUGAAGAGACAAGAAGCAGACAUGUCAAUAAAGACUUGUGUUUUAUUUGUUAUGAAAAAAGUCUUGUGCAAGUCUACACGAUUCAUGGAAAAAAAUAACAUGUCACUAAAAGAUUAAUGGUCCUGCUGGACACUACAGCUAGCUUCAGUCAGUUCACAUAUUUUGAAUUUAGCAAAUGAUUUGAACUGACUGAGCAAAAUGAAAAUGCUUUCUUCUCUAAGCAAAUUAAAGUAACUUUUGGAAACUUGAGUCCCUCUUUCCAAAUGAUAGUCUGACAGAGAGCGUCACGAAAAUGUGCCUACUGAUCGGUCUCAUUAUUGCAAAUCCAAUUUGCACAUUUUACAGUCUGGAUUCGUUAGAGUAGGUUUGAAAUAUUCCUUUUUACUGAGAGGUGGUCUUCUCAGUUUUGGCUUCAAUUGUGGGAUUCUUUGUGAGUGAAUUGUUAUCCUGACAGGGAUGUUUUGUCAACAAUAUAUCAUCAGAGGUCUGAGCCACGGCACACUGAUACAGUGGAAGUUUCAGUUCUGGCCUCUGUUGAGCCCUCUUAACUCAGAGCUGCUCUAGUUCUUCCCCGACUUACCAGCAUCAUUCAGCAUCUCACAUUCUGUUCACCAUUACUCACUGUUCACUGUUGAAGCAGUACGGAUCACUGCUCCUUUUCCUCAUUUAUGAUUCCCUGCACUGGAACCUGUACCAACAGGUAAAUCAACAGGACCCCAAUGGCUCUUUAAAAAAGGAUAGGUAAAGGUCUCAUAUCUUCCUUACCUCCCCAGCUUCUGCUGUGCUAGCCACUGGACAAACUGCCUUGUAUUUCCAAAGGGGAAUAUAGGCACAGCCUCACCUUUCUAAGGAUGAUCACUAGAACCCUGCAGGAAAAGAAAGAAAAGAUAAAGAAAAGGAAAAAAACUGUCUUCCUUGUAGAUUUUCUUUAUUCCCUGGACUCUGUGAGAUCUCUUGAGAUGCAACAUAUUCCUGCCAGUUUUACACUAUAUGCACUCAUAGGCUUUAUGCAAUUUCCUUGGCUUCAUGCUGUUUUUAUUAGAUAAUCUGUUUACUAGUCCUCCUCCAAGUUCAACUUUCCUACAUGUUGCCACUAUCAGCUACAACAAUUGCAAAUACAGUUACCUGAUAAAAGAUAAUUCAUUCCUCUCUACUCCCUACAAAGUGUAUUUGGGAAAACAUAGGAGAUGCCAAUCAAUACCUUGGGAAAAAGGAACACGGUGUUUACUAAAGUGAUCGGCUUGAGGUAAACAGUGAGCUACAGUUUAAACUAGCUGUCAGCAGCUCAUUCCGAAAGGUAUAGUUGGUCUGACUGAAACUGAGAUUCAAAGUCCACAAGAAGAGUUCCCUGUCUAUGCCAACAUACAGACUGUUUUCUUGACACCAAUGUGUUGCUAUGCGUUGCCUCCUCAUCCUUCUAAUCAUAGAAUGGCCUGGGUUGAAAAGGACCUCAGAGAUCAUCUUGUUCCAACCCCCUGCUAUAUGCAGGGUCGCCAACCAGCAGACCAGGCUGCCCAGCGCCACAUCCAGCCUGGCCUUCAAUGCCUCCAGGGAUGGGGCAUCCACAGCCUCCUUGGGCAACCUGUUCAGUGCGUCACCACCCUCUGGGUGAAAAACUUCCUCCUAAUAUCUAACCUAAACCUGCCCUGUCUCAGUUUAAAACCAUUCUAAACCUGCCCUGUCUCAGUUUAAAACCAUUCCCCCUUUGUCCUAUUACUAUCCACCCUUGUAAACAGCCAUUCUCCCCCCCCCCCCCGUUUUUAUGCUCCCUUAUAUGCUCCUUUGUGUAUCAGAUAAAGCCACAGGAGAUAGGAACCCAGAAGGUGUGAUGUUACUGCACUCUCUGUUCUGUGUAUCACAAGCAGGGCAGUGUGCACUUACAACUGGAGCUCCCUGGAGAGCUGAAGUCUGCUUGAACUUUUCCAGUCAAUACAGUUAUAAGACAUUUCUUUGCUGUUGCCUUUUUGCACCCUCAGAAGGAGUUUUUGCUGUCUAACAGCUAGCCAGUUAUGGCAAUCAGCUUUAUCCUCUUUCUUCAGGUGCUGCCCUCCACUCACUCAUCUUC